AGUGAACGCUGGCGGUAGGCCUAACACAUGCAAGUCGAACGGCAGCACAGUAAGAGCUUGCUCUUACGGGUGGCGAGUGGCGGACGGGUGAGGAAUACAUCGGAAUCUACUUUUUCGUGGGGGAUAACGUAGGGAAACUUACGCUAAUACCGCAUACGACCUGCGGGUGAAAGCAGGGGAUCUUCGGACCUUGCGCGAUUGAAUGAGCCGAUGUCGGAUUAGCUAGUUGGCGGGGUAAAGGCCCACCAAGGCGACGAUCCGUAGCUGGUCUGAGAGGAUGAUCAGCCACACUGGAACUGAGACACGGUCCAGACUCCUACGGGAGGCAGCAGUGGGGAAUAUUGGACAAUGGGCGCAGGCCUGAUCCAGCCAUACCGCGUGGGUGAAGAAGGCCUUCGGGUUGUAAAGCCCUUUUGUUGGGAAAGAAAAGCAGCAGGUUAAUACCCCGCUGUUCUGACGGUACCCAAAGAAUAAGCACCGGCUAACUUCGUG
rnacentral:rRNA from 1 species